UUUUAGGAGAUUGGUGUAAAUCCAUUUAUUGGUAUCCGGUAUCCGCCUUUGUGUGAGAUUGGAGUAAGACCAUUGAUGGCAUCCGGUAUCACCUUGUCUUUUAUUUUACUAACUUGCUUUGUCCCUUAUUCCAAAGGACACACUUGAAUCAUUUUCUAUAUGAUUUCAAGAGGUAAACCUCUAGGAAGUUUUACACUACACCUUUCAUCCACCUUUGUUUCAAAAUCCUUUUCACAUUGUUGACUUUUCAAACUUAUAUCUACAUGUUGUGCAAACAUUCUCACUUCUUUCCAAAUUAGAAACUUGGACUUUAAGUCCAUGAUUUUCCAAACUUCAUUUUUGUAAAUACUUCAUUUUGAAUUGACUUUAAUCAUACUUUGACCUUUUUGUAAAUA
rnacentral:lncRNA from 1 species